rnacentral:lncRNA from 1 species
GGUGGUAGCUGGCUACUGUGAGCGAUGCAGAAAUCUUAGCAAUCAAUGUCAAUCACCGGUAACCGAGAACAGCCAUCACACACAAGCAAAACAGAUCAACAGUCACCUCCUGUGCCAGGGAAGAAAUUCCUGCCUGCUCUGUACCUGCUGGGGAUAGCUGGGUCAAAGCUAGCAGCCCUGGCAUUGGCCUCCUCCAUCACUCAGCCAUGUCCUGGUGUGCCCUCAAGGGGUAUCGUAAAUCAAGCAACACUGGACCCUACCCAGGGAGCACAGAGAAGACAUGGAGGCACAACCUUCUCAUCUCACCUCUGGGGAAGCAGGCACAAGCAGAUCUCUGAGGCUCACUGGCUAGACAGCAUAGCCUACCUGUCAAUUUCAGGGCAGCAAGAGAUCCUGUACAAAAAAAAAA